CACACAUCCCUGACCUGCUGCUGUAGUACAGACCACACUGAGGAGCAGACUGAAAAUAAGAUUUAUGAGAAGAUCUGGUGCCACAGAAUAGGAAGACCUUUGCAAUAGGCCUUUGCAAUUUUUUCCUGUCCAGAAAGUUCAGACAUCAGAACAUCAGAACUCCCUGUCCCUCAUCUGAGACAAUCUGUGAAACCAGUCUGCUGAAAACUGACCUGCUUUCACUCUUUGCAAAAGAGUAUUCCUCUAGCUGAAAGCAAGAAUGACAAGCCCAAAAUUUCAAAUGCUCCUGCCGAUUUUGGACCCCAUAUUUUGGAAGUCAUCUGCAUGACCUUAGCAAAAACCAACACACUCAAAAACUGAAGAGCAGUUUUUUGCAUAAAAUUGCAAGUCUAAAACAGCAGAACUGAUUGGACUGUAGUUGGUACAAGGAACUACUUGGAUGGGAGCUUCUCUGCCAGCGGAUUCA